UACGGAGGAUGCGAGCGUUAUCCGGAUUUAUUGGGUUUAAAGGGUGCGUAGGCGGGCUUUUAAGUCAGCGGUAAAAAUUCGGGGCUCAACCCCGUCCGGCCGUUGAAACUGGGGGCCUUGAGUGGGCGAGAAGAAGGCGGAAGGCGUGGUGUAGCGGUGAAAUGCAUAGAUAUCACGCAGAACCCCGAUUGCGAAGGCAGCCUUCCGGCGCCCUACUGACGCUGAGGCACGAAAGUGCGGGGAUCGAACAGG
rnacentral:rRNA from 1 species